rnacentral:rRNA from 1 species
GACGAACGCUGGCGGCGUGCCUAACACAUGCAAGUCGAGCGAGGGACUUCGGUCCCUAGCGGCGGACGGGUGAGUAACACGUGGGUAACCUGCCUCAUAGAGGGGGAUACCCUCCCGAAAGGGAGAUUAAUACCGCAUAACAUUAUGCUGUCGCAUGGCAGUAUAAUCAAAGGAGUAAUCCGCUAUGAGAUGGACCCGCGGCGCAUUAGCUAGUUGGUGAGGUAACGGCUCACCAAGGCGACGAUGCGUAGCCGACCUGAGAGGGUGAUCGGCCACAUUGGAACUGAGACACGGUCCAGACUCCUACGGGAGGCAGCAGUGGGGAAUAUUGCACAAUGGGCGAAAGCCUGAUGCAGCAACGCCGCGUGAGUGAUGAAGGCCUUCGGGUUGUAAAGCUCUGUCUUUUGGGACGAUAAUGACGGUACCAAAGGAGGAAGCCACGGCUAACUACGUGCCAGCAGCCGCGGUAAUACGUAGGUGGCAAGCGUUGUCCGGAUUUACUGGGCGUAAAGGAUGCGUAGGUGGAUAUUUAAGUGGGAUGUGAAAUACCCGGGCUCAACUUGGGUGCUGCAUUCCAAACUGGAUAUCUAGAGUGCAGGAGAGGUAAGUGGAAUCCUAGUGUAGCGUGAAAUGCGUAGAGAUAAGAGAACACCAGUGGCGAAGCGACUACUGGACUGUAACUGACACUGAGGCAUGAAAGCGUGGGGAGCAAACAGGAUUAGAUACCCUGGUAGUCCACGCCGUAAACGAUGGGUACUAGGUGUAGGAGGGUCCAACCCUCUGUGCCGCCGUUAACACAAUAAGUACCCCGCCUGGGGA